rnacentral:rRNA from 1 species
AUUGAACGCUGGCGGCAGGCCUAACACAUGCAAGUCGAGCGGAUGAAGGGAGCUUGCUCCUGGAUUCAGCGGCGGACGGGUGAGUAAUGCCUAGGAAUCUGCCUGGUAGUGGGGGAUAACGUCCGGAAACGGGCGCUAAUACCGCAUACGUCCUGCGGGAGAAAGUGGGGGAUCUUCGGACCUCACGCUAUCAGAUGAGCCUAGGUCGGAUUAGCUAGUUGGUGGGGUAAAGGCCUACCAAGGCGACGAUCCGUAACUGGUCUGAGAGGAUGAUCAGUCACACUGUAACUGAGACACGGUCCAGACUCCUACGGGAGUCCGCAGUGGGGAAUAUUGGACUAUGGGCGAAUGCCUGAUCCAGCCAUGCCGCGUGUGUGCAGAAGGUCUUCGGAUUUUAAAGUACUGUAAGUUGUGAGGAAGGGCAGUAAGUUAAUCCCUUGCUGUUUUGACGUUACCAACAGAAUAAGCACCGGCUAACUUCGUG